UUAAGCGACUAAGCGUACACGGUGGAUGCCCUGGCAGUCAGAGGCGAUGAAGGACGUGCUAAUCUGCGAUAAGCGUCGGUAAGGUGAUAUGAACCGUUAUAACCGGCGAUUUCCGAAUGGGGAAACCCAGUGUGUUUCGACACACUAUCAUUAACUGAAUCCAUAGGUUAAUGAGGCGAACCGGGGGAACUGAAACAUCUAAGUACCCCGAGGAAAAGAAAUCAACCGAGAUUCCCCCAGUAGCGGCGAGCGAACGGGGAGCAGCCCAGAGCCUGAAUCAGUGUGUGUGUUAGUGGAAGCGUCUGGAAAGGCGCGCGAUACAGGGUGACAGCCCCGUACACAAAAAUGCACAUACUGUGAGCUCGAUGAGUAGGGCGGGACACGUGGUAUCCUGUCUGAAUAUGGGGGGACCAUCCUCCAAGGCUAAAUACUCCUGACUGACCGAUAGUGAACCAGUACCGUGAGGGAAAGGCGAAAAGAACCCCGGCGAGGGGAGUGAAAAAGAACCUGAAACCGUGUACGUACAAGCAGUGGGAGCACGCUUAGGCGUGUGACUGCGUACCUUUUGUAUAAUGGGUCAGCGACUUAUAUUCUGUAGCAAGGUUAACCGAAUAGGGGAGCCGAAGGGAAACCGAGUCUUAACUGGGCGUUAAGUUGCAGGGUAUAGACCCGAAACCCGGUGAUCUAGCCAUGGGCAGGUUGAAGGUUGGGUAACACUAACUGGAGGACCGAACCGACUAAUGUUGAAAAAUUAGCGGAUGACUUGUGGCUGGGGGUGAAAGGCCAAUCAAACCGGGAGAUAGCUGGUUCUCCCCGAAAGCUAUUUAGGUAGCGCCUCGUGAAUUCAUCUCCGGGGGUAGAGCACUGUUUCGGCAAGGGGGUCAUCCCGACUUACCAACCCGAUGCAAACUGCGAAUACCGGAGAAUGUUAUCACGGGAGACACACGGCGGGUGCUAACGUCCGUCGUGAAGAGGGAAACAACCCAGACCGCCAGCUAAGGUCCCAAAGUCAUGGUUAAGUGGGAAACGAUGUGGGAAGGCCCAGACAGCCAGGAUGUUGGCUUAGAAGCAGCCAUCAUUUAAAGAAAGCGUAAUAGCUCACUGGUCGAGUCGGCCUGCGCGGAAGAUGUAACGGGGCUAAACCAUGCACCGAAGCUGCGGCAGCGACGCUGAUGCGUUGUUGGGUAGGGGAGCGUUCUGUAAGCCUGUGAAGGUGUACUGUGAGGUAUGCUGGAGGUAUCAGAAGUGCGAAUGCUGACAUAAGUAACGAUAAAGCGGGUGAAAAGCCCGCUCGCCGGAAGACCAAGGGUUCCUGUCCAACGUUAAUCGGGGCAGGGUGAGUCGACCCCUAAGGCGAGGCCGAAAGGCGUAGUCGAUGGGAAACAGGUUAAUAUUCCUGUACUUGGUGUUACUGCGAAGGGGGGACGGAGAAGGCUAUGUUGGCCGGGCGACGGUUGUCCCGGUUUAAGCGUGUAGGCUGGUUUUCCAGGCAAAUCCGGAAAAUCAAGGCUGAGGCGUGAUGACGAGGCACUACGGUGCUGAAGCAACAAAUGCCCUGCUUCCAGGAAAAGCCUCUAAGCAUCAGGUAACAUCAAAUCGUACCCCAAACCGACACAGGUGGUCAGGUAGAGAAUACCAAGGCGCUUGAGAGAACUCGGGUGAAGGAACUAGGCAAAAUGGUGCCGUAACUUCGGGAGAAGGCACGCUGAUAUGUAGGUGAAGUCCCUCGCGGAUGGAGCUGAAAUCAGUCGAAGAUACCAGCUGGCUGCAACUGUUUAUUAAAAACACAGCACUGUGCAAACACGAAAGUGGACGUAUACGGUGUGACGCCUGCCCGGUGCCGGAAGGUUAAUUGAUGGGGUCAGCGCAAGCGAAGCUCUUGAUCGAAGCCCCGGUAAACGGCGGCCGUAACUAUAACGGUCCUAAGGUAGCGAAAUUCCUUGUCGGGUAAGUUCCGACCUGCACGAAUGGCGUAAUGAUGGCCAGGCUGUCUCCACCCGAGACUCAGUGAAAUUGAACUCGCUGUGAAGAUGCAGUGUACCCGCGGCAAGACGGAAAGACCCCGUGAACCUUUACUAUAGCUUGACACUGAACAUUGAGCCUUGAUGUGUAGGAUAGGUGGGAGGCUUUGAAGUGUGGACGCCAGUCUGCAUGGAGCCGACCUUGAAAUACCACCCUUUAAUGUUUGAUGUUCUAACGUGGACCCGUAAUCCGGGUUGCGGACAGUGUCUGGUGGGUAGUUUGACUGGGGCGGUCUCCUCCUAAAGAGUAACGGAGGAGCACGAAGGUUGGCUAAUCCUGGUCGGACAUCAGGAGGUUAGUGCAAUGGCAUAAGCCAGCUUGACUGCGAGCGUGACGGCGCGAGCAGGUGCGAAAGCAGGUCAUAGUGAUCCGGUGGUUCUGAAUGGAAGGGCCAUCGCUCAACGGAUAAAAGGUACUCCGGGGAUAACAGGCUGAUACCGCCCAAGAGUUCAUAUCGACGGCGGUGUUUGGCACCUCGAUGUCGGCUCAUCACAUCCUGGGGCUGAAGUAGGUCCCAAGGGUAUGGCUGUUCGCCAUUUAAAGUGGUACGCGAGCUGGGUUUAGAACGUCGUGAGACAGUUCGGUCCCUAUCUGCCGUGGGCGCUGGAGAAUUGAGGGGGGCUGCUCCUAGUACGAGAGGACCGGAGUGGACGCAUCACUGGUGUUCGGGUUGUCAUGCCAAUGGCACUGCCCGGUAGCUAAAUGCGGAAGAGAUAAGUGCUGAAAGCAUCUAAGCACGAAACUUGCCCCGAGAUGAGUUCUCCCUGACUCCUUGAGAGUCCUGAAGGAACGUUGAAGACGACGACGUUGAUAGGCCGGGUGUGUAAGCGCAGCGAUGCGUUGAGCUAACCGGUACUAAUGAACCGUGAGGCUUAACCUU
rnacentral:rRNA from 2 species